GUCACUGAGCCCCAGAACAACACGGAGGGCAGAGGUGGAGGUACUGGUUUAAGUCCUGGAAUCCACUGUCUGAAGGCUGCAGUGUGUGAGGGCAGCACAGGGAGAGAGAAUUCACCCUGCCUCUGCCUUUUUGUUCUGUUCCUGCCCUCAGUGGCCCAGCUGAUGCCUGCACACGUUGGUCAGGGCAGAUUAUCUUCAGUGGGUUGUCCACUAAUGCUAAUGUUGAUUUCUUCUGGAAACGUCUGUACAGACACACCCAGAAAUGCCGGGAUCCCAGCUUUCCAUCCCUCUAAGAGGUCAAUUUCAUCCUUCCCUACAAGAAUCAGGAAAAUAAAUGUUACUUAAAGCAGAUGGUGCUACUGUCUCCGACGCAUAGCUAGCUUUAUUCCAUUUGUCAGAACGUGUGUUAGAGGGAAAACCACGGGGGUGGCAUCAUCACGAAGAGUUGGAGCUCAAGCACUGGAAACCCGCUAAGAACUCAGCUGCCUGAGUCAAUAUCGUGCGGUAAGAGCAAGCCUGAAAUUCAAGGUGAGAGAGCUGCUGAGGCCAGGCAUGAGCACCGCUGAGGGAGGGAGGUGGCUCCCAGCAGGAAUAGCCAAGUACCGCCUAUGCUUACUCGACAUCUUGAAGAUGAAAUGAGGAGCAGCAGAGAUUCCCUGAGCCGACUUCACCCACUCUCCCAGAGGCAUUUGGUAGCAUGGUGGAGCCAGGAAUAGGUGGUCAGAGUCCUGACCUCAAUUUUCGCAUCAGAGUUGGUUAAAGAAGAAAAAUAUGAUGAAAUUCUCUGUGGGAAGGGAGGGUUUAU